UACGAAGGGGGCUAGCGUUGUUCGGAAUUACUGGGCGUAAAGGGUCUGUAGGUGGCCAACUAAGUCAGACGUGAAAUCCCUCAGCUUAACUGGGGAACUGCGUCUGAUACUGGAUGGCUUGAGUGCAGGAGAGGAAUGCGGAAUUCCAGGUGUAGCGGUGAAAUGCGUAGAUAUCUGGAGGAACACCGGUGGCGAAGGCGGCAUUCUGGACUGUAACUGACACUGAGAGACGAAAGCCAGGGGAGCAAACGGG
rnacentral:rRNA from 1 species